rnacentral:lncRNA from 1 species
CUCAGAUGGAACUUGCCUUGUCUCAGAUGAGAUUUGGACUUGGACUUUUAAGUUAAUACUAAAAUGAGCUAAAACUUUGGGGGACUGUUGGGAAGGCACGAUUGAUUUUGAAACGUGAAAAGGACAUGAGAUUUUGGAGGGAAGAGGGGUGGAGUUAUAUGCUUUGGCUCUGUAUCCCUACCCAAAUCUUAUCUUGAAUUUUAAUCCCCACAUGUGGAAGAAGGGACCUGGUGAGAGGUGAUUGGAUCAUGGGGGCAGUUUUCCCCAUGCAGUUCUCAUGAUAGUGAGUGAGUUCUCAUAAGAUCUGAUGGUUUAAAAGUGUGGCACUUCCUUCUUUGCUCUCUCCUGCCACCAUGUAAGAUGUUCUCGCUUCCUCUUUACCUUCUGCUAUGAUUGUAAGUUUCCUGAGAUCUCCCCAACCAUGCAGAACUGAAUCAAUUAAGCCUCUUUCCUUUAUAAUUUACCCAAUCUCAGGUAAUUCUUAAAGCAGUGUGAAAACAGACUAAUACAAAGGCAUGGACUUGUCACCAUCUUUAGGCCUUCUUACUUCCAUUAUCUAAAUUACUCUCUUUUGAACAAAUGCUUUUUUUCAACAGGUGUCUUCUGAGAAGUCAUUUUGAUACAGUAUGAAUUCAAUAAGACAAGUCUUCCAUUGAGCAUGCUUGGGCAAGGCUCUCUUCCUGGCUUGCAGACUGCCACCUUCUUGCUAUUGCCUCGCAGAGGGACGAAAACAUUCAGUUCAUAGCACCGACCAAAAAUUAUUUCCAGGCAAUCCAGUACAGCUGGAAUAGAAAAGAUAGUGGAUUCCUUGGCUUCCUCCAAGUGGACUGAGGGUUGAAGUAUUUUUCCAGUCAUGUUCUUGAACACCAACUUUCAUGGCAUGCUGACAUUUCCAGACUACUGAAGUUGUGAUGAUUAAAUGAUCCUGCAUUUGGUGAGAAGAAAGUUUGCACAUUCUAAAGGAGCUAGGUUUCAAAUGACUAUAUAGGGCACAAUUUCCACUGAAGUGAUUU